CGCCUCUUGAAAACUAUAAGAGGUCCAGCCUGCCCAGUGAUAUUAUUAAACGGCCGCGGUACCCUGACCGUGCGAAGGUAGCAUAAUCACUUGUUCUCUAAAUAAGGACUUGAAUCAACGGCAUCACGAGGGUUAUACUGUCUCCUCUUUUUAAUCAGUGAAACUGACCUCCCCGUGAAGAGGCGGGGAUAUUUAUACAAGACGAGAAGACCCCAUGGAGCUUUAAACCCAAUAACAGCCCACAUUAAAUUUUCCUAAAGAAAAGAAAAGCAAUGUUUAUUGGUUUUGGGUUGGGGUGACCACGGAGAAAAACUAAACCUCCACGAUGAAUGAACCUUAAUUCUAAUCUACGAGCUACUGCUCCAAGAAUCAAUAAUUUGACAUAAUAUGAUCCGACAACGAUCAACGAACCAAGUUACCCUGGGGAUAACAGCGCAAUCCAUUUCAAGAGCCCCUAUCGACAAAUGGGUUUACGACCUCGAUGUUGGAUCAGGGUAUCCCAGUGGUGCAGCCGCUACUAAAGGUUUGUUUGUUCAACAAUUAAAACCCU
rnacentral:rRNA from 1 species